AUUGAACGCUGGCGGAAUGCUUUACACAUGCAAGUCGAGCGGCAGCGCGGGGCAACCUGGCGGCGAGCGGCGAACGGGUGAGUAAUGCAUCGGAACGUACCCCGUCGUGGGGGAAUAACUACCCGAAAGGGUAGUUAAUACCGCAUACGACCUGAGGGUGAAAGCGGGGGACCAAAGGCCUCGCGGCGAUGGGAGCGGCCGAUGCCGGAUUAGCUAGUUGGUAGGGUAAAGGCCUACCAAGGCGACGAUCCGUAGCUGGUCUGAGAGGACGACCAGCCACACUGGAACUGAGACACGGUCCAGACUCCUACGGGAGGCAGCAGUGGGGAAUUUGGACAAUGGGCGAAAGCCUGAUCCAGGCCAUUCCGCGUGAGUGAAGAAGGCCUCGG
rnacentral:rRNA from 1 species